rnacentral:rRNA from 1 species
UAUCCCCUGUGUGCCUUUAAGGCGUGCGUAGCGAAGCUAACGCGCUAAGUAGGACCGCCUGGGGAGUACGGCCGCAAGGUUAAAACUCAAAUGAAUUGACGGGGGCCCGCACAAGCGGUGGAGCAUGUGGUUUAAUUCGAUGAUACGCGAGGAACCUUACCAGGGCUUAAAUGUAAGUUGCAUAAGUUAGAGAUAGCUUUUUCUUCGGACUACUUACAAGGUGCUGCAUGGUU